rnacentral:rRNA from 1 species
UACGGAGGGAGCUAGCGUUGUUCGGAAUUACUGGGCGUAAAGCGCGCGUAGGCGGCUUUGUAAGUUAGAGGUGAAAGCCCGGGGCUCAACUCCGGAACUGCCUUUAAGACUGCAUCGCUUGAAUCCGGGAGAGGUGAGUGGAAUUCCGAGUGUAGAGGUGAAAUUCGUAAGAUAUUCGGAAGAACACCAGUGGCGAAGGCGGCUCACUGACCGUAUUGACGCUGAUGUGCGAAAGCGUGGGAGCAAACAGG